rnacentral:rRNA from 1 species
CGCAUCUGUGCAUGCAGCAUAUCAAUAAGCGGAGGAAAAGAAACUAACAAGGAUUCCCUUAGUAACGGCGAGUGAAGCGGGAAGGAGCUCAAAUUUGAAAUCUUCAAGGUUUCACCUUGACGAAUUGUAGUUUAAAGAAGUGUUUUCUGUUGAAGUUUUGGUAAAAGUUCUUUGGAAUAGGACAUCAUAGAGGGUGAGAAUCCCGUAUUUGACCAUUAUUUUCAGCUGUGUGAUACACUUUCAAAGAGUCGGAUUGUUUGGGAAUGCAGUCCAAAAUGGGUGGUAAAUUUCAUCUAAAGCUAAAUAUUGGCGAGAGACCGAUAGCGAACAAGUACCGUGAGGGAAAGAUGAAAAGAACUUUGAAAAGAGAGUUAAACAGUACGUGAAAUUGUCAAAAGGGAAGCGUUUGACACCAGUGUUGUUUUCUCGAAAAUCAAUUAAAAAGAGUUUGAUUUUGUUGUGUAUUGACCUUAACAGCUUGCAUUUCAAUUUUCUUGCUUUUUUUAAUGCACUUUUCGUUUAACAAGUCAACAUCAGUUUCUUUUGUUGUAAAAAGGUCAUUGGAAGGUGGCUUUCUUUUCGGAGAAAGUGUUUAUAGCCUUUGACUCCUGCAAUCGGAGAGACUGAGGUCUGCAGCGUAGAUCCUUCGGGGUUAGAUACAUUUGUGCUAAGUUAUAGCUUUUUAUAGACAACUUGUUGACUAUGAUUAGUCUUGUAGCUUACUCGCUUAUGCUAUUUUACCUACGCUUAGGAUGUUGACACACGCGCGUGCUCG